rnacentral:rRNA from 1 species
CCCCCCCCCCAAAAUUUGUAAAAAUCUUAUUUUAUGGCUUUAGAGCAAUUCAAAUAAGGUACAGCCUAUUUGAAACAGGAUACAACCUCAACCGAUGGGUAAUAAAUUUUUUAAUUACAAUCAAGUGGGCCUAAGAGCAGCCACCUUUACAAUAGCGUCAAAGCUUAUUUAUUUAACACAAUUAAUCCCUUAAAUCACCUUCAACCCUCUAAUACUACUGAGUAAUUCUAUUCACUUUAUAGAACCUAUAAUGUUAAAACUAGUAACAAGAAGAUAACCUUCUCCUAAAUGUAAGUGUAAAUCAGAAAGGACAACCCACUGAUAAUUAACGCCCAUGAGCCCAUAUUAGCAACUCCACAAGAAAACUCUAAUAAACCCAACGUUAACCUAACACAAGAGCAUUCCAAGAAAGAUUUAAAGAAAAAGAAGGAACUCGGCAAAUCAUAACCCCGCCUGUUUACCAAAAACAUCGCCUYUUGAAUAAAAUAAGAGGUCAAGCCUGCCCAGUGACUCCCAGUUCAACGGCCGCGGUACCCUAACCGUGCGAAGGUAGCGUAAUCACUUGUUCUUUAAAUGGGGACUAGUAUGAACGGCAUCACGAGGGUUACACUGUCUCCUUUUUCUAAUCAGUGAAACUAAUCUCCCCGUGAAGAAGCGGGGAUAUAACUAUAAGACGAAAAGACCCUAUGGAGCUUUAAAUUUUAUUACAAAUGCUCCCCCUACAAAAAGUUCUGACCCCCCCCACAAUAGCACAGCAUUAUGAUAGUAGAUUUUAGGUUGGGGUGACCGCGAAGAACAAAAAAACCUCCGCAUUGAAAUAGGCCUUAGCCUUGAGCCAAGAGCUACAACUCUAAGUACUAAAACAUUAACAUCCAUUGACCCAAUUAUUUGAUCAACGAACCAAGUUACCCUAGGGAUAACAGCGCAAUCCACUUUGAGAGCCCCUAUCGACAAGUGGGUUUACGACCUCGAUGUUGGAUCAGGGUAUCCCAGUGGUGCAGCCGCUACUAAUGGUUCGUUUGUUCAACGAUUAAAACCCU